rnacentral:rRNA from 1 species
UACAGAGACUGCAAGCGUUAUUCGGAUUCACUGGGCGUAAAGGGUGCGCAGGCGGCCAAGUGUGUGAGGCGUGAAAGCCUGGAGCUUAACUCCAGAAUUGCACCUCAAACUACAUGGCUAGAGCAUUGGAGAGGGUAGCAGAAUUCAUGGUGUAGCAGUGAAAUGCGUAGAUAUCAUGAGGAAUACCAGAGGCGAAGGCGGCUACCUGGACAAUUGCUGACGCUCAGGCAUGAAAGCGUGGGGAGCAAAAGGG